rnacentral:rRNA from 1 species
AUUGAAUGCUGUCGGCAGGUUUAACACAUGCAAGUCGAGCGAGCGGCGGACGGGUGAGUAAUGUAUGGGGCCUGCCCGAUAGAGGGGGAUAACUCCUGGAAACGGUUGCUAAAACCGCAUACUAUCGGUUAACCCAUAUGGGAUUAGCUCGUAGGUGAGGUAAUCGCCCACCAGGGCGACGAUCGCUAGCUGGUCUGAGAGGAUGAUCAGCCACACUGGGACUGAGACACGGCCCAGACUCCUACGGAGGCAUCAGUGGUGAAUAGUGCACAAUGGGCGCCAGCCUGAUGCAGCCAUUCCGCGUGUAUGAGGAAGGCCCGAGGGUUGUAAAGUACUUUCAGUCGGGAGGCGUUACCGACAGAAGAAGCACCGGCUUACUCCGUGCCAGCAGCCGCGGUAAUAC